GGGUCCUGUGCGUCAAUUCGCAGCCGUCGGUUCUUGCAAGGAGGGAAAACGGAGAUGCCCGCGGCGGCGGUGGGCGUUGCGUGCUGCCGUGUUCUUGGGUGGGUUCACAUAUCGACGGAGAAGAUUUGGGUCGCAAUUUCCCUGCAAAUUCGUUGAAAUUUCAGCUCAUCUUCACUAGGGAAACAAGCUCAGCCCCCCGAACAAUUUGCUCGUGUGCAAAGAACAAAAAAAGAGAGCGUAAGGAAUCUUGGCAGGGGAAAGCACGCAAGAACAACGGGAGCAAAUGCAAAAUUCCUCGUCCAAAUUCAACACACUAAACCCCCAAAACCCAAAACGUCUCGGAAGAGAUAGAACCCAUGGAACGAAUCCUGGUAAGAAACAAGCUCCAAGUCGGACGCAAAUCACAAACAUGUCCCAGGUAAUUCAGCCAAAAAAGGCCAUGAAACCAAGUCCAGUUGCAACCUUCAAACCACCAAAAGGCCAGCCAAACAUUGGCCGCAACGAAACCAAGAAGCAACAUGAUACAGAGAAGGGGAGCCCGGAAAGAUUAGGAAAGGGGUCCCGCACCUUGGCGAGGAGGAGAAGUAGGGUGCCUGAAGCUGAAACCUCAUCAAGAAAGAAAUGGAGGAAGCAAUCCCACAGGUGGAGAAUCUAGGUGCUCCAAGAAUCGCAGGCGAGGACAAGGGAAGGGAAGGGAGAUGCUGCUGGACGAGGAAGAAGCAGAAGCAGAAGCAGAGGCAGAGGAAGCACACACAGGCCUACA
rnacentral:lncRNA from 1 species